rnacentral:rRNA from 1 species
CGGGACGGGUGAGUAAUGUCUGGGAAACUGCCUGAUGGAGGGGGAUAACUACUGGAAACGGUAGCUAAUACCGCAUAACGUCGCAAGACCAAAGAGGGGGACCUUCGGGCCUCUUGCCAUCGGAUGUGCCCAGAUGGGAUUAGCUAGUAGGUGGGGCAAAGGCUCACCUAGGCGACGAUCCCUAGCUGGUCUGAGAGGAUGACCAGCCACACUGGAACUGAGACACGGUCCAG